AAGUGGGCAUUACAGGAGAAGGGUACCUUUCACAAGGGCUGUAAUCUAAAAUCUUGGGGAAGAUACAGCGUCAUCUGUCCAAGAGGUGUCAGCAGUAACGAAGCCUCAGUAGAAGCCAAAGUUAUUUUGGAUUACUGAGCCUGUAUAGUUUCCAGAUUCUCAAGAGAAAUAUAUGGGAAUGUAGAUAUCUCAGAGGACCUUCCUGCUGUCAGGAAUUCAGAGGAGGAAAUAAGGAAGGUAAUAGGUGCUCUGCUCUCAUUCUCUCAAACCCUCUUCCCUGUGUUUUCCUAUAGAGAUUGCUGAUUUGCUCCUUAAGCAAGAGAUUCACUGCUGCUCAGCAUGGCUCAGACCAACUCAUGCUUCAUGCUGAUCUCCUGCCUGAUGUUCCUGUCUCUGAGCCAAGGACAGGAGGCCCAUGCUGAGUUGCCCAAGGCCCAGAUCAGCUGCCCAGAAGGCACCAGUGCCUAAGGCUCCCACUGCUACUACUUUAAUGAAGAGCAUGAGACCUGGGUUUAUGCAGAUCUCUACUGCCAGAACAUGAAUUCAGGUAACCUGGUGUCUG
rnacentral:lncRNA from 1 species